rnacentral:rRNA from 1 species
UACGGUAACAGGAAGAAGCUUGCUGCUUUGCUGACGAGUGGCGGACGGGUGAGUAAUGUCUGGGAAACUGCCUGAUGGAGGGGGAUAACUACUGGAAACGGUAGCUAAUACCGCAUAACGUCGCAAGACCAAAGAGGGGGACCUUCGGGCCUCUUGCCAUCGGAUGUGCCCAGAUGGGAUUAGCUAGUAGGUGGGGUAACGGCUCACCUAGGCGACGAUCCCUAGCUGGUCUGAGAGGAUGACCAGCCACACUGGAACUGAGACACGGUCCAGACUCCUACGGGAGGCAGCAGUGGGGAAUAUUGCACAAUGGGCGCAAGCCUGAUGCAGCCAUGCCGCGUGUAUGAAGAAGGCCUUCGGGUUGUAAAGUACUUUCAGCGGGGAGGAAGGGAGUAAAGUUAAUACCUUUGCUCAUUGACGUUACCCGCAGAAGAAGCACCGGCUAACUCCGUGCCAGCAGCCGCGGUAAUACGGAGGGUGCAAGCGUUAAUCGGAAUUACUGGGCGUAAAGCGCACGCAGGCGGUUUGUUAAGUCAGAUGUGAAAUCCCCGGGCUCAACCUGGGAACUGCAUCUGAUACUGGCAAGCUUGAGUCUCGUAGAGGGGGGUAGAAUUCCAGGUGUAGCGGUGAAAUGCGUAGAGAUCUGGAGGAAUACCGGUGGCGAAGGCGGCCCCUGGACGAAGACUGACGCUCAGGUGCUAAAGCGUGGGGAGCAACAGGAUAGAUACCCUGGCAGUCACGCAUAAACGAUGUCGAUUGGAGUUGUGCUCUGAGCGUGGCUUCCGGACUACGUGUUAAUCGACCGCUGGGGUCGUCGCAGGUAAAUAAAUGAUGCG